CGGGUCGGGGGAGGGGGGAAAAAAUUAAUUUUUUUAAAAAUUUUUGGAAAUUUUUGCCCCUCCCCCGACCCG
rnacentral:miRNA from 1 species